CCACCACCCUGCCACCAACAGCCCUGAGUCUGUUUCCAGGUGGAGGGUUAGAGGGGCUUGAAAAUUUGCCCAAGGAUAUCUGCCUCCCAGCUGUGAAAGAAAAGGGCUUUGGUAGUUCCCCUAACUGUGGAGUCUGCACACCAGAUUCGCACCCUCCCCUGAGUUCUGGCCAGGAGAGGGUACGGUUCAAAUUCUUACAAAGUUCUUGCCUGGUUCAAAUUGUUACAAAGUUCAGCUAGAGAAUUCCUUCUCCCUGUGGAGUUUUACCCCCUGCUUCUCUGGCCACCCUCCUGAUGGAUCCCUGUGGUGCCAGGCAGGAAUGGGCUGCCUGGGGACCCAGCAAGCUCCCAGGAUCUUUCUGCUGCUUCUUCUACCCCUGUAUUUUGCUCACCUCUCUAAUUUGACUCAGCUCCAGGUGGAUAUUGAGGGAGAAACAGAAAAAUCCAAGACAGUCUCCUGUGGAAGAAAAUUCUCCAACCCAAAACUCAACCGAACCCAAAGCUCAACCCAAAGCACUGAACGGCACAUCAGUUAAGACCUGUCAAAUAUAAUCACACAAUCUAAUAUUUUUAAACAUGCAAAAUGAAGACCACCGAAGUCAAUGUCAUUCAGAAAUAACAACAACAAAACCAGAGCACCCUAUACAAUUAGGCCUCAAGGAAUUCCAAAGUAGUGUAUUAGGUAUAGAAAAUAUAUAUGUAAUUAGAAACAUUUACAGAUU
rnacentral:lncRNA from 10 species